AAUGGCAAAUGAUUUAUUUGCUAGAGAAUAGAUCACUCGUAUAGUCCCGGUGGCUUGCAUAACAAAUGGCACGACUAGGUUGUCUUAUUGAAAUAUCUGUAUUCUGUUGAAAUUUUGGCAUCGAAUUGAGAAAUUAAUCAUCAUUUCGGUGCUAAAAUAAGACGAAUUUGAAAGCAGCGAUGACCGCGCAGCGUCCGGCGAGCGAGAGCUAAACACAAAACGUUUACGUAUAUGUUAGCAUUUUACGCAGUUCCAAUAUACUAAGAGAUUGGUCUGGGUUCCGUACUUCAAAAGAUCCGUGGAGUCGUUUAUGAUUCUAUAACCGAUGAUGUUUCAACCGCAACCCACGCAACAACUACUCCUGUAAACUCACGCAGAUAUUAAAGUCCAAAGAGAACUAAGCAUUUUCUUAUUAAAUUAAGGCUGACACGUGUCAUGAUCCUGGAGAGGAGAGAGGUAAUUAUUGAAUUAAAAUAAGAAAGUAUAUUGAGAUAGAAAGAAAACUAAGGAUAAAGACAAUUAAAUCAUUUUGGUCUAGCAACAGCAUUGAUAGUAUGAUGUACAAAAGGAUAGGUGAGUGCUCUUAAUAUACUGUAAUACAAACAGAAGCUGAUGUCGUGCAACUUAGUAUUACCGUCGCGUAUUUCAUGGCGACAAUUGCAGCGCUGUAUCACAGUGCUAGAAUAUAAGUUCCGGGUUGCAUUGAAGUUUUAAAGGAGGAGGUACACGAACUAUCCCCAUCUUAGUAAAAUCUUUCGGAAGAUGAUAAAAAUAGCGUAAUCAAUUAACAAAGGUUAAUACAAAUAGAGAUCAA